UACGUAGGGCGCAAGCGUUGUCCGGAAUCAUUGGGCGUAAAGAGCUCGUAGGUGGUCUGUUACGUCUGCUGUGAAAUCCUAGGGCUUAACCCUGGGCCUGCAGUGGAUACGGGCAGACUAGAGGUAGGUAGGGGCAAGCGGAAUUCCUGGUGUAGCGGUGAAAUGCGCAGAUAUCAGGAGGAACACCGGUGGCGAAGGCGGCUUGCUGGGCCUUACCUGACGCUGAGGAGCGAAAGCGUGGGGAGCGAACAGG
rnacentral:rRNA from 1 species